CGGAGCCCCAGCUCUGCACUUAACAGUCAGAUCUGUGGUUGGGUAAUCUGACGACUGUUUACACAGACUGGUAAGCUCUGUUAUUAUUGUUACCUAAUCAGUAUCUCUAACCAAACAGACCACACAUAUACUCUUAACAGUCUUUCUAAACACAGAUUUCUCUUUCUAUUGUUCUUUUUCUUCUUCUAUGUGUAUUUGUGACUGAGCACAAGCUCUGCAGUAACUGUCAGAUCAGUGGUUGGUAGGGGUGGGCAAUAUUAUAUCGUGUACAAUAUAUCGUGACACAGAAAUAUCAUGAUAUUAAAAAUCCAUAUCGUGAUAAUAGGGCUGUUCUGUCUUAAAAGUAGUCUAUUAUUUACUGUGAAGCUUUAGGUGUAUUUAUUGUGUAAUUGUUUUAGUUUGCAGUUUAUAUGCAUGCACUAAAUAUUCUGCAAUAUUAUUUGCUGCAUUAUAUUAUUUUAUGCUAUAUUAUUUAUCUUGCCUCAUUAUGAUUAUACUGUUAUACUAUUAUACUAUAUUCCUGAAAUUAAUUAAUUAUUUUUGUUUUCCUAUAUCGCCAAGUAUAUUGUUAUCGCAAAAAUACCCUGAAAUAUCGUGAUAUUAUUUUAGAGCCAUAUCGCCCACCCCUAGUGGUUGGGUCAUCUAACAACUGUUCAAACAAACUGGUAAGCUCUGUCACUAUUGCUACCUAAUCAGUCUCUCUAACCAAACAGACCACACAUAUACUCUAAACAGUCUUACUAAACACAGAUGUCUCUUUCUAUUGUUAUUUUUCUUCUUCUGUGUGUAUUUGUGACGGAGGACCAGCUUUGAGUGAACAGUCAGAUCUGUGGUUGGGUAAUCUGACGACUGUUUACACAGACUGGUAAGCUCUUUUUUAUUGUUACCUAAUCAGUCUCUGUAACCAAACAGACUACACAUAUACUCUUAACAGUCUUUCUAACCACAUAUUUCUUUUUCUAUUGUUCUUUUUCUUCUUCUGUGUGUAUUUGUGACGGAGCCCCAGCUCUGCAGUAAACAGUCGGAUCUGUGGUUGGGUCGUCUGAGGACUGUUCACACAGACUGGUAAGCUCUGUUACUGUUGUUAUCUAAUCAGACUCUCCAAUUGAACAGACUCUUUAACCACACAUAUACUCUAACCAGUCUCACUAACCACAUAUUUCUCUUUAUGUCAUUUUUGUACUUUUUCUGUGUUUAUUUGUGACUGAGCACAAGCUCUGCAGUAACUGUCAGAUCAGUGGUUGGGUCAUCUAACAACUGUUCAAACAAACUGGUAAGCUCUGUCACUAUUGCUACCUUAUCAGUCUCUCUAACCAAACAGACCACACAUAUACUCUAAACAGUCUUACUAACCACAGAUUUCUCUUUCUAUUGUUAUUUUUCUUCUUCUGUGUGUAUUUGUGACGGAGCCCCAGCUCUGCACUUAACAGUCAGAUCUGUGGUUGGGUUGUCUGACGACUGUUUACACAGACUGGACCAGCUGUGCAGUUAGCAGAUCUGUGGUUGGGCCGUCUGAAGACUAAAGACAAAAACUGUGAAACCGAACCAAAUAGAGGGAGAAAACGCUCAUCAGAGAAAACAAAUUCAUCAGCUGAACCGGACCAUAGAAAUAAAAAUGAAAAAGCUAAAGAAUACAAAUAAAUAUAUGCAAUUAAAUGCAAAGAAUCA